CUUCUCUAUAAGGAAGCGGUAUGCAGAUUGAAGGUCUAAAGAGUUAAUCCACAUCAGUGGUGGAACUAAAGUAGAGAGGACCCUGGUGCAAGAAAUGUUUUGAGCCCCCUAUCGCAAGGAUGGCUAAAAGGUAGAUCCUCAUCCGUCAUACAAUUCUUAAAAUGCUUUGCCAGCUGGGGAUCUACCAUUUGCCCAUCCGUGCAGGGUUGUAUUUAGCACUGAGCAGUGUUUUUGUGUUGGAAUGUAAGCUUGUUUUUGUAUGGAGUAUGUGUUUGAAUGUAGGUUUGAAAGCAGUGGUUUACUUGUAUGUAAUGUUUUUCUUUGAAUGUAGGGGUGUGUCUGUAUGUAGUGUUGAUGUUUUCAUAUAGGGUUCAAUUUGUGUGUAGUGUUGGAGUUUGAAUGCUGAGAUGUUAGCACAUAUACACUGCCAUACACACUUAAUGAUACACAUACUCACACAUAUAACACACACAGACACAUGUGCAGAUACAAACACACACACUGACACUCAUACAAAUAACCAAGUACAGACAUGCAUAUACACAGGUACAGACAUGCAGAUACACAGACACACAGGUGCACACACUGACACACAUGCAGAUACACAGAUACACACAAUGACACUCAUACGAAUACAAACACUUACACACAUGC